CGAAUCUUCCGCAAUGCACGAAAGUGUGACGGAGCGACGCCGCGUGUAGGAUGAAGUCCUUCGGGAUGUAAACUACUGUCAGGGGAAAGAAAGUUCUGAUCUACCCCAGAGGAAGAGGCGGCUAACUCUGUGCCAGCAGCCGCGGUAAUACAGAGGCCUCGAGCGUUAGGCGGAAUCACUGGGCUUAAAGCGUGUGUAGGUGGAUGCCUAAGUGCCUUGUGAAAUCCCACAGCUUAACUGUGGAAUUGCUGGGCAUACUGGGUGUCUUGAGCCACUCAGGGGCUACCGGAACAAGCGGUGGAGCGGUGAAAUGCGUAGAUAUCGCUUGGAACGCCAAUGGUGAAAACAGGUAGCUGGGGGUGUGCUGACACUGAGACACGAAAGCCAGGGGAGCGAAC
rnacentral:rRNA from 1 species